GUGUCAGCAGCCGCGGUAAGACGUAAGGGGCGAGCGUUGUCCGGAAUUACUGGGCGUAAAGAGCACGUAGGCGGCUGAGUAAGCGGCAGGUGAAAUCCCGUGGCUCAACCACGGAACUGCUUGCCGAACUGCUUGGCUUGAGCACGGGAGAGGGCAGUGGAAUUCCUGGUGUAGCGGUGGAAUGCGUAUAUAUCAGGAGGAACACCCGUGGCGAAGGCUGCUGCCUGGAACGUUGCUGACGCUGAGGUGCGAAAGCCAGGGGAGCAAACAGGAUUAGAUACCCUGGUAGUCCUGGCUGUAAACGAUGGACACUAGGUGUUGGCGGUUCGACCCCGCCAGUGCUGUUAAGCUAACGCGUUAAGUGUCCCGCCUGGGGAGUACGGUCGCAAGGCUGAAACUUAAAUGAAUUGACGGGG
rnacentral:rRNA from 1 species